GCCAGGCCCCCGACGCCCAUGGUGAAAGCUGAUCGCUGGGUCUGAGACCAUUCCCCUCAGGCUUAUCUUGGCCCGUUCUUCAUUUCGCGGACUUCUCCCCAAGGUGUCUGCUGCAGUGGCGCCAACCAGCAUGACCUGCCCUCCGCGCGGGGCUUUGGGUCGUCCAGAAAGCUCCUGGCAGUGCCACGUCUCAUGGUUUUGCCUCCCAAGGAUGCGGUGAGCUCUUAAGGCAGGGCUGUGAGCUCCCAGCUCUUUUUCAUUUGUUUCUUUGAGGCAAAGUCUCCCUCUGUCGCACAAACUAGAGGGCAGUGGAGCAAUCACAGCUCACUGCAGCCCCCAACUCCUGAGCCUCCUGCCUCUACCUCCCAAAAUAGCUGGGAUGACAGGAGUGUGCCACCACACCUAAUUUUUUAUUUUUUGGAGUCUAGGCCACGACAGGUGCAGGGAACAGAGGACCGACUGCACCCAAGCUGGGCGCAGCCCAUCUGCCUCAGAGGCCGUGCCAGGCACAGCAGCUGGAAGUGGGGCCACCUUGCCUCAGGACACCCGACUGCAGCUUCCAAAGGAAGCAAGGUCUAGGUUCAUGUGACCGAGGGAUGAGCGUCCUCACGUGGCAGAGUAAACUUGGGUGCUUCUGGAGUGACAGAUGUGGGCCUCCCUGGAAAGCAGUGCCCACCAGCCUGCACGGCUGCUCCCUCCGCGGGGUUCCUGACGGUGCUGACUGCUCCUUACCCGCGGGGCUCGGGCUGCCAGAUUCUUCUGGAUCACUCACCCUGACAGGGAACCAGGGCUGCUCUGUCCAGAGGCCCAGGGCUGCCUGCAAACUGCAGGGGUUAGGCAAACUGCAGAGGGCAAAAAAGCAGGCGUCCACGGCAGCCACAGCUGCAUGUGACUCUCACCCCUGGCAGCACUGGUGCUCGGCACACCUUUGGGCUCCGCCUGUCAGCUCUGUCUCGUCCCAGGCUCAGAAGGGCAAGGGGUGUGCCUGACUGUGUCCCACAGAAAAGACAUCAUCAGUGACGGCGCCCAGCUCACUUUCCAGACAGCCGGUCACGUGUGUUUCAGUAUAAAGGCUUCCAGACGGGGGGCCACACGUGUUUAAAUAUAGAGGCUUCCAGAGAAGGGGCCAUGUGUGCUUAAAUCCAGAGGCUUCCACCAGAUGAGGGGCCAUGUGUGUUUAAAUACAGAGGCUUCCAGAGGAGGGGCCACGUUGGUUUAAAAGCAGAGGCUUCUGGACGGGGGACCACGUGUGCUUAAAUGCAGAGGCUUCUAGAUGGGGGACCACGUGUGUUUAAAUGCAGAGGCUUCUAGACGGGGGACCACGUGUGUUCAAAUGCAGAGGCUUCUGGACGGGGGACCACGUGUGUUUAAAUGCACAGGCUUCUGGACGGGGGACCACGUGUGCUUAAAUGCAGAGGCUUCUAGACGGGGGACCACGUGUGUUUAAAUGCACAGGCUUCUAGACGGGGGACCACGUGUGCUUAAAUGCACAGGCUUCUAGACGGGGGACCACGUGUGUUCAAAUGCAGAGGCUUCUGGACGGGGGACCACGUGUGUUUAAAUGCACAGGCUUCUGGACGGGGGACCACGUGUGUUUAAAUGCACAGGCUUCUGGACGGGGGACCACGUGUGCUUAAAUGCAGAGGCUUCUGGACCGGGGACCACGUGUGCUUAAAUGCACAGGCUUCUAGACGGGGGACCACGUGUGCUUAAAUGCACAGGCUUCUGGAUGGGGGAUGGGGGGCCAUGUGUGUUUAAAUGCAGAGACUUCUGGACGGGGGAUGGGGACCCACGUGUGUUUAAAUACAGAGGCUUCCAGAUGGAGGAGGCCCACAUGUGUUUAAAUACAGAGGCUUCCAGAUGAAGGCCACGUGCAGAGGCUUCCAGGCGGGGUGGGGGGGCCACGUGCGUUUAAACAGAGGCUGCCUGUGUUGUUUUGCUGUGUUUUUCUUCUCUAAAGAGGAAGCGUUGUGUGGGAUCUCUGAGAUGUUGGUUCCCAUGAAACGGACAGUAUGUACUUGUCAGACAAGUUCAGAGGCAGUUUUCGAAGCCGUCCCGGGCCGACUUCACUCGCAAUUUAAAGAUGCUGACAAGGCCCCUCUGGAUGUGCACAUCCUCACGUGGCUCUGCCCUCACACCAGGACUCCCGGAGGGCGGCUUCUGCCUGGGUGUGGCUCUCUGACCACCAGCUCCCUGUGCUAAGGAUGCCAGCAGCCCGUGGGGAGGCCCUUGCAGCGUGGAGGGAGCCUGGGAGGAUCCUGUCCCGUGAGGCCUCAGAUGAGACGGUGGCCCCAGCCCACGGCUGAGACAGAGCCCCCAUGAGGCCUCAGAUGAGACGGCGGCCCCGGCCCACGGCUGAGACGGAAGGAGGGAGCCUGGCUGAGCUGAGCCUGAGGCCCAAUACACAGAAAUCCAAGGUGAUAAAUGCAGGUUUUCAGCUGCUGGUUUUGGGGUAACUUGCCCUGUAGCCCCAGCUCACCAUGGGACACUGGCCGUCAUCUCCUUCAUAAAAGGAGAGUGGCCUCGGUUUUCCCCAGUUCGAGGCCCUGAGAGAUGGGUCAGCAAGACAAAGUCACGUCCAGGCCUGGCUCCUGCAGCACCCGGCACUGCCCAGUGGUGGAGGGUCCC
rnacentral:lncRNA from 1 species